rnacentral:rRNA from 1 species
UACAGAGGUCUCAAGCGUUGUUCGGAUUCAUUGGGCGUAAAGGGUGCGUAGGCUGCCUGGUAAGUCAGUUGUUAAAUUUCAGGGCUCAACCCUGAACUGCAAUUGAUACUGCCGAGCUUGAGGAUUUAAGAGGAGACUAGAAUUCACGGUGUAGCAGUGAAAUGCGUAGAUAUCGAGAGGAACACCUGCGGCGAAGGCGGGUUGCUGGGCUGACACUGACGCUGAUGCGCGAAAGCCAGGGGAGCGAACGGG